AGUGAACGCUGGCGGUAGGCCUAACACAUGCAAGUCGAACGAGUGGCGGACGGGUGAGGUAUAAAUCGGCAUCUACUCUGUCGUGGGGGCUAACGUAGGGAAACUUACGCUAAUACCGCAUAAGAUUGUAUGAUCUGUUGUCGGAUUAGCUAGUUGGCGGGGUAAAGGCCCACCAAGGCGACGAUCCGUAGCUGGUCUGAGAGGACGAUCAGCAACACUGGAACGGAGACACGGUCCAGACUCCUACGGGAGGCAGCAGUGGGGAAUAUUGGACAAUGGGCGCAAGCCUGAUCCAGCCAUACCGCGUGGGUGAAGAAGGCCUUCGGGUUGUAAAGCCCUUUUGUUGGGAAAGCGGUACCCAAAGAAGAAGCGCCGGCUAACUUCGUGCCAGCAGCCGCGGUAAUUC
rnacentral:rRNA from 1 species